CAGUAGCCGCGGUAAAACGAAGGGUGCAAGCGUUAAUCGGAAUUACUGGGCGUAAAGCGUGCGUAGGCGGUGAGUUAAGUCUGCUGUGAAAUCCCCGGGCUCAACCUGGGAAUGGCAGUGGAUACUGGCUCGCUAGAGUGUGUCAGAGGAUGGUGGAAUUCCCGGUGUGGCGGUGAAAUGCGUAGAGAUCGGGAGGAACAUCAGUGGCGAAGGCGGCCAUCUGGGACAACACUGACGCUGAGGCACGAAAGCGUGGGGAGCAAACAGGAUUAGAUACCCGAGUAGUCCCUGUCUCUUAUAC
rnacentral:rRNA from 1 species